UUAAUUAGCAAAAGGGAUCUCUGGUAGACUUGAAACUACCUAGUUCCAUAAAGACGUCUGACCUUGCUUCUAACUUUCACAACCUCAAAGCUUUUAAUAGCUUAACUAUUAUGUCUACUUUUGUGAAACACAGCCCAUGUACAAAAUCUGGCGAGAAAAACAUGACCCCGUUAUGAUCACUUUCAUCUGACUUGUAUCUUGCUCACUUUAAAUGACUGCCAAUCAUUGAGGAAAAUUGUAGAAUAACUGGAGAGGCUAAAGAUGCUCAGGGAAGGCUUUUGAGAGUAAGAAAAAGCCAGAAGGUAGAGAUAAGGUCCCGGAGUUUUACCUGCAAUGCAACCAGCUUCUGCACUCAUGCUGAUUUGGAAAACAUGGCUUUAGAAUCAACUCUACUCAUGUGGCAGGGGCAACAUGUGGUUCUACGCCAUGUACAAGAGUAACAGAGAUGUUCCUCAAAUAUAAUGAACCUAAGGACAUUGCAAAUGAUACCUCCGAAUUU
rnacentral:lncRNA from 1 species